rnacentral:rRNA from 1 species
GAUUAUGGCUCAGGAUGAACGCUAGCGACAGGCUUAACACAUGCAAGUCGAGGGGCAGCGGGGAGUAGCAAUACUUCGCCGGCGACCGGCGCACGGGUGAGUAACACGUGUGCAACCAACCCCGUACCGGGAGAUAACCCGCGGAAACGUGGACUAACAUCCCAUAAUACUGAAGGAUCGCAUGAUCUUUCAUUUAAAAUUCCGGUGGUACGGGACGGGCACGCGCGACAUUAGGUAGUUGGCGGGGUAAGGGCCCACCAAGCCG